ensembl:lncRNA
UGGGUUAACUGGCCUAGGAACAGUGGGUUAAUUGGAUAAGUUACCCACUGGUUAACUAAAUAAGGUGGGGUCUGAAUACUUAUGUAAAUAAGGUGAGGUCUGAAUACUUAUGUAAAUAAGGUGGGGUCUGAAUACUUAUGUAAAUAAGGUGGGGUCUGAAUACUUAUGUAAAUAAGGUGGGGUCUGAAUACUUAUGUAAAUAAGGUGGGGUCUGAAUACUUAUGUAAAUAAGGUGGGGUCUGAAUACUUAUGUAAAUGAGGUAUUUCAGUUUUUUUUUAUUUUGAAGACGUUUGCAAACAUUUAAAAAAAAAACAGUUUUUGCUUUGUCAUUAUGCCUUAUUAUGUGUAGAUUGAUGAGAAAACAAAUGUUUAAGGCCUUUGAGAAUAAGGCUGUAACUUUUAAAAAAUGUGGGGGAAAAAUGAAGGGGUCUGAAUCCUUUCCAGAAUGCCCUGUGUUGACCAAUAGGGCUCAACCCCUUGCUGUUGGCCGUGACCCAUUUCUUAUGGAUCCCUCAGGAAACCAGAGCUUCAAUGGAGGCUUCAGCGUAAAUGAGCUGAUGGGGAACGGUGUUCAGUUGCAACCUACUUUUCCUGGGACACAUUAUCGGACACGGGGGGGGGGUCCAAAAGGGAACGGCCGUUCCAAUGGAAGACGAUGAGGUGAGCGCUGGGAAUGUUGUUACGCAACUGCCAACCGCUCGCCACGAGAAACACUAACAGAGAUUAACAAGGACCGAUCAGCCAGGCCAUGUGUGUGUGUGU